UUGGGUGACGAGUGGCGGACGGGUGAGUAAUGUCUGGGGAUCUGCCCGAUAGAGGGGGAUAACCACUGGAAACGGUGGCUAAUACCGCAUAACGUCGCAAGACCAAAGAGGGGGACCUUCGGGCCUCUCACUAUCGGAUGAACCCAGAUGGGAUUAGCUAGUAGGCGGGGUAAUGGCCCACCUAGGCGACGAUCCCUAGCUGGUCUGAGAGGAUGACCAGCCACACUGGAACUGAGACACGGUCCAGACUCCUACGGGAGGCAGCAGUGGGGAAUAUUGCACAAUGGGCGCAAGCCUGAUGCAGCCAUGCCGCGUGUAUGAAGAAGGCCUUCGGGUUGUAAAGUA
rnacentral:rRNA from 1 species